CGGUAAACGGCGGCCGUAACUAUAACGGUCCUAAGGUAGCGAAAUUCCUUGUCGGGUAAGUUCCGACCUGCACGAAUGGCGUAAUGAUGGCCAGGCUGUCUCCACCCGAGACUCAGUGAAAUUGAACUCGCUGUGAAGAUGCAGUGUACCCGCGGCAAGACGGAAAGACCCCGUGAACCUUUACUAUAGCUUGACACUGAACAUUGAGCCUUGAUGUGUAGGAUAGGUGGGAGGCUUUGAAGUGUGGACGCCAGUCUGCAUGGAGCCGACCUUGAAAUACCACCCUUUAAUGUUUGAUGUUCUAACGUUGACCCGUGAUCCGGGUUGCGGACAGUGUCUGGUGGGUAGUUUGACUGGGGCGGUCUCCUCCUAAAGAGUAACGGAGGAGCACGAAGGUUGGCUAAUCCUGGUCGGACAUCAGGAGGUUAGUGCAAUGGCAUAAGCCAGCUUGACUGCGAGCGUGACGGCGCGAGCAGGUGCGAAAGCAGGUCAUAGUGAUCCGGUGGUUCUGAAUGGAAGGGCCAUCGCUCAACGGAUAAAAGGUACUCCGGGGAUAACAGGCUGAUACCGCCCAAGAGUUCAUAUCGACGGCGGUGUUUGGCACCUCGAUGUCGGCUCAUCACAUCCUGGGGCUGAAGUAGGUCCCAAGGGUAUGGCUGUUCGCCAUUUAAAGUGGUACGCGAGCUGGGUUUAGAACGUCGUGAGACAGUUCGGUCCCUAUCUGCCGUGGGCGCUGGAGAACUGAGGGGGGCUGCUCCUAGUACGAGAGGACCGGAGUGGACGCAUCACUGGUGUUCGGGUUGUCAUGCCAAUGGCACUGCCCGGUAGCUAAAUGCGGAAGAGAUAAGUGCUGAAAGCAUCUAAGCACGAAACUUGCCCCGAGAUGAGUUCUCCCUGACUCCUUGAGAGUCCUGAAGGAACGUUGAAGACGACGACGUUGAUAGGCCGGGUGUGUAAGCGCAGCGAUGCGUUGAGCUAACCGGUACUAAUGAACCGUGAGG
rnacentral:rRNA from 1 species